rnacentral:rRNA from 1 species
UAACAAGGAUUCCCCUAGUAACUGCGAGUGAAGCGGGAAAAGCUCAAAUUUAAAAUCUGGUGGUUUUGCCAUCCGAGUUGUAAUCUGGAGAAGCGUUUUCUGUGCUGGACCGUGUACAAGUCUCUUGGAACAGAGCGUCAUAGAGGGUGAGAAUCCCGUCCAUGACACGGACACCCAGUGCUAUGUGAUACGUUUUCAAAGAGUCGAGUUGUUUGGGAAUGCAGCUCAAAAUGGGUGGUAAGCUCCAUCUAAAGCUAAAUAUUGGCGAGAGACCGAUAGCGAACAAGUACCGUGAGGGAAAGAUGAAAAGCACUUUGGAAAGAGAGUUAAACAGUACGUGAAAUUGUUGAAAGGGAAACGCUUGAAGUUAGUCGCGUCUUACUUGACUCAGCCUUGCUUCGGCUUGGUGUAUUUCAUGUGAGACGGGUCAACAUCGAUUUUGACCGGCAGACAAGGGGAGUAAGAAUGUGGCACUCUUCGGAGUGUGUUAUAGCUUAUUCUCAUAUGUGUCGGUUGGGAUCGAGGACCGCAGCGCGCCCUUGUGGCCGGAGGUUCGCCUCACGUUACGCGCUUAGGAUGUUGGCAUAAUGGCUUUAAGCGAC